GACUCAAUUUUGCUGGAGCUCAAGUUUUGGUCGCCGGCGUUCGUCUGCAAAAUUUGUCACCUCCACUGCUCUUCAUCCAAACCAAACGAUCGUAUGCAAGAAAAGUCUAUCAAACUGUUGCAGGAGCUGACGUGGACCCAGACGACUACGUUGAAGCUCCCAGAAAACUACAUAUUGCAAGACAAGUCACGAAACCAUCAUUUGAUCAUCUUGAGAACCUAAGUAGAAAACCACUUAGUUAUUGUAUACAUUAUUUACUUGCAAAGUUAUUUUGGCGUAUUAUUACUUUCAAAUAAUCAUGUUGCAUUAGUUAUUGCCCUAUACCUAAUUUACUGUUAUUGCCGAUACCAUAAACUAUACCGUCCCUGAUAACCUAGGUAUAGGUUGUACACUUCAUCAGAAUAAUAUCAUAGUGGAUAAUACCACCAAACCUCUAUACACAUACAUUUGUUUUGCUCGUCGUCACAUGAUGACGCUAUCGGGCUACGUUUUGAUAUAAACCACUCGCCUUGAGUGAUAUGGAAGGUAACUCCGGGUGAAGGUUGGUGUUCUGGAUAUUAUGACAUGUAUUACUGUGUUUAUUAUAUGCAUGUGCUAUGUUAAUUUAUUUGCUUUUCUGGCUAUAAGGAUAAACCCUCUUAUGCCAUGGAAAAUGAUAUAGUUUGCGCCCAUCCACAGGGCCGAGUAAUCGAACUUAACCUAGUACGUGGUCCCAUUAUACGAACGACUGUUAGAAGCUCUAGGAGCAUAUAGGAGUGGACAUGUGUAAGAGACCGCGGGCCAAGUUGACAUGAUCUCACAACAGUGGCACUUGUGAAAGCAGCGAUCUACUAUGCCUUGCCUGUGGCCAAGCAAGUGCCUGACUGCUAGGACGAAGAAUAUCCCAAUGCACGGUACUAGUAGUAAGUGGGACUAAUGAAUGGUUAUGUUAUCUUGACUCUGAUCCAGUCGUGGUAUCAUGUGCGUAACGCUGGGCAGACGCUGUAGAGUCGUAUUGUAUUCGCUGGGCAGACGCUGUAGAGUCAUAUUGUAUUCGAAUACACCGUGCUCCCGGUUAAUGGAGAUGUGUCAUUGGGUGAUUCCUAUUUCUUAUGGUAUGAGUAGAUUUUAUAAUUAAAAUUAGAUUGGAAUAAGAUGAGAAUGAUGGUGAUUAAUAUUGCUACGUUUUAAACUAUUGAUUUAUAAAUGUUUGCAAAUAAACUGUUUUAUCAAAAUAGGAAAAAACUAUUUAUAAUAGGCUUAUUAUCAACCCAUCUUGAUGAACCUUAUGUCCUUGUACUACUUACAUGUAGAAUACUUGUAUUCUUGGAUCGUAGUUUGCUGGGUACGUUUGUACUCACCCUUUGCAUAAAAUAUGGUUUAGAAGAGCAGGUCUUCGUCAAGGUUGCUCGUGUUAGGGUCGCUUUCUUCGCUCAGGCUCGCCUGUGGAGCUGUUUGAUCUUGGGGUCUUCUGCUUGCUGCCUAGUUGGUCUGUUUGAAAAGCUAGGCCGACGUGCCAUAUUUCUGCUGUUAAUUGUGCGUGUGGUAUUUCUGUUUAUUUCAGGUACAUUCCCAAAAUGAGUAUGAAAUGUUGCUCUCUUGUUGGACCUAGUGCGCAAAGGCGAGCUCAAAUACGAGAUGGAGUUGACGCCCUUCAGCGACUUCCGUGUGGCUCUUGAUAACGCACUCGGCAAACAUGGGAGCCAACCAAAGCAGGUUCUUAUGUUCUAAGAUAAGGCCAGGACAAUGGAUGAGAGAGAGAACUUGUAUUCUGUAUAUUGAAAAGGAUGCAGACUAGAUCACAUAAAAUAGGAGUAGAAAAAGGAGGUAAAUAGUGCAUGUGUGUGUGGCUGCCGGAUUGGCGACCACUUUCAGUGUUUUUCUUAUGAAGCAGCACGAUGUUUUGCGGACAAUGCAGCGGAUCCCUGUACGUGCCAAGUGCUAUUUAGUCCAAUGACCCUUCACUCCAGAGCUUUCUUUUUUAUUUGAGAACAAAUGUUGAGAAGGGAAAAACAUAUUCUUAUGUCUACUGCUAUAUAUUGCAAAUGAUCCAUAUAAUUUAAAAUAGGUCUCAAUUAGAUCUA